UACUAGAGUAGCACUCGCAUAUCAAUAAGCGGAGGAAAAGAAACUAACAAGGAUUCCCCUAGUAACGGCGAGUGAAGCGGGAAGAGCUCAAAUUUGAAAUCUUAAAGGGUUUCCCUUUACGAAUUGUAGUUUAAAGAAGUGUUUUCUGUUGAGGUUUUGGUAAAAGUUCUUUGGAAUAGGACAUCAUAGAGGGUGAGAAUCCCGUAUUUGACCUUUACUUUCAACUUUGUGAUACACUUUCAAAGAGUCGGAUUGUUUGGGAAUGCAGUCCAAAAUGGGUGGUAAAUUUCAUCUAAAGCUAAAUAUUGGCGAGAGACCGAUAGCGAACAAGUACCGUGAGGGAAAGAUGAAAAGAACUUUGAAAAGAGAGUUAAACAGUACGUGAAAUUGUCAAAAGGGAAGCGUUUGACACCAGUGCUGUUUUUCUGAAAAUCAAUUAAAGAACUGUUUAUGCUAAGUUGUUUAGACUUUAUCAGCUAUCUGUUUAGUUUUGAGCUUUUCUUUAAUGCACUUUUCAGUUAACAAGUCAACAUCAAUUUCUUUUGCUGUAAAAAAGCUUGAGGAAGGUGGCUUGAGAUUCGUCUUAAGUGUUUAUAGCCUCUUGCCUAUGCAGUCGGAGAGAUUGAGGUCUGCAGCGUAGAUCCUUCGGGGCUAAAUGCAUUUGUGCUAAGUUAUAGCAUUUUAUAGACAACUUGUUGACUAUGAUUUGUCUUGUAGCUUACUCGCUUAUGUUAUUUUACCUACGCUUAGGAUGUUGAGCGCAUGUCUCUCUCUG
rnacentral:rRNA from 1 species